rnacentral:lncRNA from 1 species
GGAGGGGAAGGGGGAGGAGAAAAAGGAGGAGAAGGAGGAGGAGGAGGAGGAGGAGGAGGAGGAGGAGGAGGAGGAGGAGGAGGAAAAGGAGGAGUAAUAUCUCCAAAACAAUAAUACACAAGAAAAAGAACUUGAGCAAAGAGGACAAGAAGAAAAGGAAGCGAGAAAAGAUUUUUCAAAGCCCUUUAAAGUAUGCCAAGCUCCUCAUAUAUAUAUAUAUAUAUAUAUAUAAAUAUAUAUAUAUAUCUUCAUAUCUAAUCCCAACACCAACACAAUAAGACCACUUUACAGGUGAGGAAAAUGAGGCAAACCAAGUUAGAUGACUUCUCCAAGAUCACACUUCUGCUCAUUUUACAGAUGAGGAAACUGAGGAAACUAAGUGACUUAUCCAGGGUCACACAGCUAAGAAGUAUGAGGCCAGAUUUGAACUUAUGAAGAGAAGGAAACUGAUGCCUAAGGAGGGGCCCAAAGUCAUGAAAUGGAGGCAGAAAUUAAGACCCAAAGAGAAGAAGAAACCCAAUCAACAUCACAUUCAGGUAAGUGACAGAGCUAUCAAUCCAGGUCUUCACACUUCAAAUCUAGAAUACUUUCUACUGUGUCAUUUUUCCUCUUGUAUACAAUUUAUACUUUGCAAUUCAUUCACACUACAGUAGAGUUUAAUUGCAUUCAUGUGUCUACAUGUGUUAAUGGUAGAAAAAGAAUGAGAAAGGGAAAUAUUAACAGAAGAGAGAGUGGAAGACUGCAAGUUUUGUUCUUUGGUGGGAGAAAUACCUUUCUAGUGGUAGCAAUUCGUUCAAUGAAUAAACAGAUAUUAAACACCUACUAUAUGUUAGGU